rnacentral:rRNA from 1 species
UACAGAGGUCUCAAGCGUUGUUCGGAUUCAUUGGGCGUAAAGGGUGCGUAGGCGGUGAGGUAAGUCAGGUGUGAAAUCCCGGGGCUCAACUCCGGAACUGCAUUUGAUACUGCCUUGCUAGAGUACUGGAGAGGAGAUUGGAAUUCAUGGUGUAGCAGUGAAAUGCGUAGAGAUCAUGAGGAAGACCAGUGGCGAAGGCGGGUCUCUGGACAGUUCCUGACACUGAGACACGAAGGCCAGGGGAGCAAACGGG